UUUGAUCGAGCUACAUGUCAC
rnacentral:siRNA from 1 species